UACGUAGGGUGCGAGCGUUAAUCGGAAUUACUGGGCGUAAAGCGUGCGCAGGCGGUUUGCUAAGACCGAUGUGAAAUCCCCGGGCUUAACCUGGGAACUGCAUUGGUGACUGGCAGGCUAGAGUAUGGCAGAGGGGGGUAGAAUUCCACGUGUAGCAGUGAAAUGCGUAGAUAUGCGGAGGAACACCGAUGGCGAAGGCAAUCCCCUGGGCCUGCACUGACGCUCAUGCACGAAAGCGUGGGAGCAAACAGG
rnacentral:rRNA from 1 species